UCAAACUUGGUCAUUUAGAGGAAGUAAAAGUCGUAACAAGGUUUCCGUAGGUGAACCUGCGGAAGGAUCAUUACUGAACAUCAUCAAUCUGGGUUGGGUUGUCGCCACGCUUCCUGGGAAGGCACACCCUUCCCCUUUUUUCCAACCCCCCACCCCCGUACCGAUACGCGAAACGUGCCUGCAGCUGGCCCAGCAGCCCGCAGGCUGUGGCAUCUGGGUUGAAACGGAUGCUUCCCCAGGGAUAAAUUGCCAAGCGCUGGCUUGUGCAAUCUUCCUGGGCAGUCGCGGUCUACGGGGGGCCUCUUCUGUAUCAAACCCCAAAACACAUAUAUAUGUUGUGUUGCUUUUCUUUCAAUGUAACUAUUGAACAACUACAGCAACUUUCGACAAUGGAUCUCUUGGCUCUCGCAUCGAUGAAGAACGCAGC
rnacentral:misc_RNA from 1 species